AAGUGUUCUCAGGGCGGGGUGAAAUUCCCCACCGGCGGUGAUAGCCCGCGAGCGCCUUCGCAAAUGAAGGGUCAGCAGAUCCGGUGAAAUUCCGGGGCCGACGGUAUAGUCCGGAUGGAAGAGAGCCGCG
rnacentral:ncRNA from 2 species